AUGUUCAACUUUAUGUAUGUAAAAAAGCAGAACAACGCUCCAUAUUUUGUGCUUCUCUCAAAAGCCAAUUGUUCUCCAUCAACUUUUUCUAUUCUAUCAUUAUUCUAUUCAUCAUCAGCAAAAGAAACUUUUAUCUCUCAAUCUCUACCUCCGUUUCAAUCCGAUUUCACGAGCAACAACAAAAACAAACAACCUCUGUCUCUCUCGAUCGCUCUCUUCUAG